rnacentral:lncRNA from 1 species
UUAGCAACUGAUUGUUUCUAUAGUCAAAUAUGGAAUUGAUAUAUAAUUGAUCAAAACAAAAAUGAAAAUUGAAGCUUAUAAUAUAGUUUAGUCCGAGCAAAUUUUGAUAUGUAUUUAUGGUGGAUCUCCUAGACAAAAUUAGGAAAGAUAAAUACAAAGAAUAACAAUUUGUCAGUGUGCCAUCAUUCGUAUUCACACUCUGUAAGUUACAUAUUUAAUUAAUUAAUUUUCAAGCUUUGAAGCCAAGGUAGUGAGGAACAUGAAGAGCCUUCAACCAGUCGGUUCCAGACUUGGGUCCAGCCUGGAGCCAUUCAGCAGCGGUGAAUCUCGUAGCUUCGGCCUGGCUAAUGGCACCGUGAUAACCCUUCCACUUGAUUCUUCCGGCAAUAUUGGCACCAGGUCCAGUGUUGGCAUACUCUGCAUAGUAAAGUGUGUUCAAAAAUUGAUCACCUGACCAAGGGGCCCAUCCAUCUGGAUGAAUAAAGUCACCAAUGGUGGAUUCCAUAACGACUGUCCUUGCAUAUGCCUUCCAUGGUCUGCCCAAGUAAGAUUUGAUUUGGAANNNNNNNNNNNNNNNNNNNNNNNNNCUGCUGAUCCGUCUGCGGUAAUUGUGUUGAAUUGGUUGUUGUUAGGCUUCCUUACGAUGAUCACAGAGUGUUGGAUCAAGGUGGGAGAUGUUCCAAAGAUGAAAUCAACGGUACCAGAGAUGACACAAUUGCGGUAGAAUUGCCUGUUUGUUUGAGUGUACAAGGUGUCUUGGUAACCUAAGAUAUGGCAACCAACGAAAGCAGCCAUAUCUCCUUGGUUUCUCAAAGCAACAGCUUGAUGACCAUCAGGACCGGCAGUGUUCUCAAAUGUCAUUGCCUUUGCGAUGAACCCAGUUGCGGUGUUGGCUGCACGCACGCAUGGAUAAUCAUUUAGUAAUGUCAUCCAUAAUGUAAAUAAAAUAAAAUAAAGUUAUGACAGGAAUUGAAUUAUGUACCAAAGGUGGCGGUUUGCAUGGUCUUGAUACCAUCCUUGCCAUAGUUCUUAUGACCGGUGAUAAUGGUCUUUUGAGGGCCAUCACCGUACAUAAGCAAGUUAACGCACUGUUUGGGGACAGUGAUGUACUCGUCAUAGACACCAGCCUUAACGUAUAUAAUAUAUCUUCCUUUGUUUCCUUUAGGGUAAGAAUUAAUAGCAUCCAUAAUUGUUUUAAAUUGGCCAGUACCAUCCUUGGCAACAACAACAUUAGGCUUAACUUUUGAUCUCCAUCCUUUUCCUUGCAUUUGAGCCAAAAGCUUGCGAUCGGUAGCAGAGACCCAUGCAGGGAAUCCUUGCUCGUUAUCGAUUUCCUCAGAUAGAAGACGACGAGAAGCGGGUUUGAGAUCCAAUUUCAAACCGAAUUCUUGGAGUAUGUUGGACAAACCAGUCACAACGUCAAGAGCAACAGCGGUGAUCUUUGUCGCGCGGUCUAUAGUCUGAGUUUGUAAUUGAUCCUUAAUCUUCUUCUCACCCUCUUUUUCAUCGUCAAAUCCUUCCAUGCAAGCUUGUUUGUAAGAGAUAACUGCACUCAACCAAUUCCUGAGAUCAGGAUUUUGGGCAUGAACAGAUUGAAUGUUGUUAUCACGAACCAAUGUGUUGGAGAGAUCAAGACUGUCUAAAGCAGACUGCAUCAAAUCUUUGCAAUCAUCAAGAGCCAUCUUGAUGCCGCUAUCUUUGUCGCCGUACUCAACAGUGAGUCUAUCACUCAUGUUAAAUGCCUUAAUGACAUUGUCAGUGGCUGCUUUCACUGCAGCCGCUAUGUAUGCCUUAGGAUCUGAAGCAUCAGCGCCACGGACAGAGCUAAGAGUUUCAUGGCAUAGUUUUUGGUCUUCUGCAUUUUGGCAAAUAACUCUAAGAGAUCUUUGGUGAGUUUGAAUCUCAGGAUCUUCACCUUUGUUGUGAACAACUACAACUACACCAAUGGCAACACCUACAACAAGGAUAAGCGAAACAACAGAUAUAAUUAUCUUUCCUGACAUUUAUUUUUAUUUUAUUUUUUUUGCUCAGAAAAUUUAUUAGAACACUAGCUUCUUUCCCUUUGUGUGAUUGGUUGGGGAGGUUUAUUGGAGAUCCCGCUGAGAUAUGGAAACAUGUUUGGUUAUUAUAGGUAACUCAAAAAAAAAUUAAGCCAACCAAAGAGAAAAUCUAUAUUUAGCAAUUUCACAAAUGAUAGGCACAUAAUUAUCGUUAGGAAUGAGUUGAAACAAUCUACUGCUAUUUUUUAGCUAAGUAUAGCAUUUUAUAUUUUAUAUAUGAUUAUCCACCAUGUACUAUUUGAUAGAUCAGUCCAAAGAGAGAUAUAGAGAAAAUGAAAUGAAAUGCUCUAAAAUUAGACCCACACACUUAUUUGCAUGUGUAGUCACUACUAGAAAUUUGUUAUUUUUCUGCUGCUUUGGGGAAAAAAAUCUGAAACAGGUUUCGUGCGGAUUCGGGUUCCAGCUAAAACCUUCAUGGAUAAUUGUUUCCUACGUUUUUUUGAAUCCCCAUGAAAUUUUCCUGCGAAAUUUUCUACCAAAAAUAAGAACAAAUCCGCAGGUAAAUCUGCAGUAAUACCCACAGGAAACGUGUUUUCGCAGGUAAAUUCGCAGGUAAAUUCGCAGGACAUUCUGCAGGAAACAUGUUUCUGUAAAAUCCGCAAGAACUUCCUAAUGAUAAUUUUUUUUAAUAAACAGAAAAAUGUUUUUUGUCUUUUACAAAAUAAAAAUGAAUAUUAAAAAACCAUUUAGUUAAAUUACUCUAGGAAUAUCCUAACAUAACAUUAAAUCAUCAAUGUCCUAAUCAUUAGCAUCCUAAUAUUAAGUAACAAAUUAAAAAGUCUUCAUCAAAAUGUCCUAAUCAUACUUAAAGUCUUCAUCAAAAUGUCUGGAAUCCUGAUCAUUAAUUAAGGUCUUCAAAUUCACUGUUGUCAUCUUCCAUAAGGUCUUCCUCAAAUUCAUUGUUGCCAUCUUCAUCUUCAUUAGUGAACUUUUCAUUGUUAGCUUGUGGUGGAUGAGAAUAAGAUACUACAAAUCCAAGAUGUUGCAUAAAAAAAGAGAGCUUCUUGUUUGUUUCCUUUAUCUCGUGCUCUUGUCGUUGCAAUUAAUGUUGCCUCAUCUGCAACUUCUCUUUGUUCUUGUCUUUGUAACGACUCAUUUAAAGCAUGAACUUAACCUCUUAUGAGUUAGCAACAACACUUGUAUGUGUAUAGUGUACCUAAGAAUUUCUCAGGAUAAGGACACUCUAUAAAGCCAUUACCACAAAAACAUAUAUAGUGAUGCAGGCCUAUCCAUAAUCCCAUUCUUCUAAUCACAUUAUAAAUUCUCUAGUUCUCUCCAUCUUCUAAUUAUAAAGCAAAGGGUAUAAAAAGACUUAUAUAAGCAGAUUCAGCAUGAUUCACCCACUCAACUUUGAUCCCUUUUCCGAUGAGUACGAAAAUAAAACUCUGAGAAGAUGAAUCUUCACCUUUUUCCUUUUUCUAUAAAUUAUAAAAAAAGGUUUAGUGUCAUUAAUUGUAAACACUAAAUUAUGAAAUAUUAUAAAAACUAAAUGAGACAGCUUCAAACAUGUUGUGCUGAAAUAAAUUUCAAAGACAGAAACAAGAAGCAUGAAUUGUCAUUGUAAAACUAACUGAAAAAUAACUGAUGAUACCAUUCUAUUCCAAUGCAAACGAUGAGUAAUUGAUCCGUCGGUGUGAAGAGAUGCACCGGCCAUAGAAUCGCGAUUUCUUUUAUUUGUUUCAGAUGAUUUUUUGAACUUGGACGACUUCCAAUAUUUUGUCAAGUCAUCCCACACUCUCUCUCCCAUCCAACUUGGUCUAUUUUCUAAAUCUUUUCGAACGUCUUGCAUUAUCUGCGACAUCUUAGCUGCACCCCUUUUAUCUAAAUCCUAACAUUAAUUACCUGAAAUAAGUCAAGGAACGUAUUUCUUUGCGUGAGUGAUAAUUGUUUCCAUGAAGGUUUGCCUUCGUCUAGAUGAGAGCGGAUUAUGUGAGCAAUUUCUUUAGUUAAAGGUAAUGAUUUGUUUACUUGCAUAUAUUUAGUUGAAGCAAAACUGAUUUUCACAACAUAAGAAAUCAUGAACAUUAUUAGAGUAAUUUCUUUUGAUAAUAGAGUAAUUUCAAUUACAAAGUCAAUCUAUUUCUCACUUGCAUACGAGAACGGCUAUUAUGUGAGAAUAGAUUGUUUUUUGGACUUCAGAAUAUAUUUUUAAGGCUAAGUGAGAGAUAAAGAUAAUGAAUAAAAUAUGAAAAUUGAAGCUUAUAAUAUAUUUUAGUCCGAGCAAAUUUUGAGAUGUAUUUAUGGUGAAUCUCCUAGACAAAAACAGGAAAGAUAAUUACAAAGAAUAACAAUUUGUCUGUGUGCCAUCAUUCAUAUUGUAAGUUACAUAUUUAAUUAAUUUUCAAGCUUUGAAGCCAAGGUAGUGAGGAACAUGAAGAGCCUUCAACCAAUCGGUUCCAGACUUGGGUCCAGCCUGGAGCCAUUCAGCAGCGGUGAAUCUCGUAGCUUCGGCCUGGCUAAUGGCACCGUGAUAACCCUUCCACUUGAUUCUUCCGGCAACAUUGGCACCAG